rnacentral:rRNA from 1 species
UACAGAGGGUGCGAGCGUUGUUCGGAAUUAUUGGGCGUAAAGGGCGCGUAGGCGGUGCGGUAAGUCACCUGUGAAAUCUCCUGGCUCAACUGGGAGCUUGCAGGCGAAACUGCCGUGCUGGAGUGUGGGAGAGGUGAGUGGAAUUCCCGGUGUAGCGGUGGAAUGCGCAGAUAUCAGGAGGAACACCAAUAGCGAAGGCAGCUCGCUGGGACGUUACUGACACUGAGGCGCGAAAGCGUGGGGAGCGAACAGG